rnacentral:rRNA from 1 species
ACCUACGGGGGGCAGCAGUAGGGAAUUUUCGUCAAUGGGCGCAAGCCUGAACGAGCAAUGCCGCGUGAACGAGGAAGGUCUUCGGAUCGUAAAGUUCUGUUGAAGGGGAAAAAGAGCGGAGAGAGGAAAUGGUCUCCGAUUGAUAUUACCCUUCGAGGUAGUCACGGCUAACUACGUGCCAGCAGCCGCGGUAAUACGUAGGUGGCGAGCGUUAUCCGGAAUGAUUGGGCGUAAAGGGUGCGUAGGCGGCCUGCUAAGUCUGGAGUGAAAGGUACCGGCUCAACCGGUACAGGCUCUGGAAACUG